AUGAAACUGGACGAAAUUAAAUGUGCCUAUGAGGUUGUAGACAGUGCUGGUGCAGAGCAAGCAAGAAUUGAAAAUGAGAUGAAAGCCAAAGUCCUAAAGCUGGAAGGAAUCACACGUAGCACAAGGAGUUGACAUCAACAGUACUGAACUGAGAACAGGGAACACUAUUUAUCCACAUGACAAGACGAGGGGAUGACGAGACACACCUGGGAUCAAUAGAAAUAAACGGGGAACA
ensembl:lncRNA